rnacentral:rRNA from 1 species
UGGGGAAUCUUGGACAAUGGGCGCAAGCCUGAUCCAGCCAUGCCGCGUGAGUGAAGAAGGCCUUAGGGUUGUAAAGCUCUUUUGCCAGGGACGAUAAUGACGGUACCUGGAGAAUAAGCCCCGGCAAACUUCGUGCCAGCAGCCGCGGUAAUACGAAGGGGGCUAGCGUUGUUCGGAUUUACUGGGCGUAAAGCGCACGUAGGCGGGUCGUUAAGUCAGGGGUGAAAUCCCGGAGCUCAACUCCGGAACUGCCUUUGAUACUGGCGACCUUGAGGCUGGAAGAGGUUAGUGGAAUUCCCAGUGUAGAGGUGAAAUUCGUAGAUAUUGGGAAGAACACCAGUGGCGAAGGCGGCUAAUUGGUCCAGAUCUGACGCUGAGGUGCGAAAGCGUGGGGAGCAAACA